UUAAACUGCAUCAACUUUCCUGUUUACAUCAAAUGAUCAGCAGAAGUAAAUCAUGUGUGAUGUAGCUGAUAAUCUGGGGCACCAAAGGGGAAAUUUCAAGUUGAUGACAUCAUAAUGUGCAUGACAUGCAGUAUUAAUGACAUCACAGAUUUUGGAACUCAGCCAAUUCUCUCAGGACAGUGUCUGCUGAGCCAGGCCGAAUGUGGAUUACCUGUCUUCACCGAAUCCUAUCCUGGUACAGUCUGAGCAUAGAAAUUUGCAGAUACCGACUUAUUGAGAACCAAGAUAUCUGGGAGUUUUCAACAGACAAGAGGACCUGGAUAUUCUGCUACAUGUGACACUGACGCAAACUGUGUUGUACUUUUACAUCAAUAUGGCAUUAUAAAAAUGUUUGGACUCAUAUGCCAUUGCUUGAAUCAAAAUUAAAUUGAUAAUAAAUUUAUAUAACUCUGAUAUCUAUUUUUUCCUCAAACACUUACUUAUUAGAACUGUUAAAACAAAAAAAAAGUUGAGACUCCAAAAUUAUUGUCUUUUAACUUCUCAAAAGUGAAUACUAUAUAAUCCUUAUGAGUAUAUGAAAUAUCAACUGUGGAGUUAUUGGGAGGACAAUAUGAAUUUAAUUAUAUAUUGGAAGUAAGCUCCAUCAGGAAAUACUCGAGUAAGUUUAAUGAGGAUCUGAUGGAAAAUAGCUUCAGACCACUUGUUAUAUUAAAAAGGGCCAUAACUCCAAAGAGAAAGUUUUGUUAAUAUUGUAUGUUGAAUGGUCAAGUCAGAGAGAGAAAAAUGUCAAGGUAACAGGUGUCAAUGGCUCAAUGCUCAAGUACUGGUAACAAAGAGGCUUAGCCAUGCAUGCAUGGCAAAGGGGCUUUGCCAUGCA